ACGCACGCUGGCGGCAGGCUUCACCCCUGCAAGUCGAACGCCCCGCACGGGGAGUGGCAGCCGGGUGAGUAACGCGUGGGAACAUACCCUUUUCUACGGAAUAGCUCUGGGAAACUGGAAUUAAUACCGUAUACGCCCUACGGGGGAAAGAUUUAUCGGGGAAGGAUUGGCCCGCGUUGGAUUAGCUAGUUGGUGGGGUAAAGGCCUACCAAGGCGACGAUCCAUAGCUGGUCUGAGAGGAUGAUCAGCCACAUUGGGACUGAGACACGGCCCAAACUCCUACGGGAGGCAGCAGUGGGGAAUAUUGGACAAUGGGCGCAAGCCUGAUCCAGCCAUGCCGCGUGAGUGAUGAAGGCCUUAGGGUUGUAAAGCUCUUUCACCGAUGAAGAUAAUGACGGUAGUCGGAGAAGAAGCCCCGGCUAACUUCGUG
rnacentral:rRNA from 1 species